GACGAACGCUGGCGGCGUGCUUAACACAUGCAAGUCGAACGAAGUGGCGAACGGGGGAGUAAUACGUGGGUAACCUGCCCUCCUUUUUGGGAUAAGCCUUGGAAACGGGGUCUAAUACGGAAUAAAGGGGGAUGGGCUGGGGGCGUAUGAGCUCGUUGGUGGGGUGCUGGCCUACCAAGGCGGUGACGGGUAGCCGGCCUGGGAGGGUGACCGGCAACAUUGUGACGGAGAUACGGCCCAGACGCCUACGGGGGGGAGGAGUGGGGGAUAGGGCAAAAUUGGCGAAAGCCAGAUGCAGGGACGCCGCGUGGGGGAUGAAGGCUUUCGGGGUGUAAACCACUGUCGAUAUCGAACGGGUAGGUGAAGAGAAAGCGCCGGCUAACUACGUGCCAGCAGCCGCGGUAAUUC
rnacentral:rRNA from 1 species